rnacentral:lncRNA from 1 species
GUCAUUAUUCAUGUUUGGCUUCCAGUGUUUAUCUCUUUUUUUCUUUUUCUUUUCCUUUUCUUUUUAGAGACUUUUCACUCUGUUGCCCAGGCUGGAGUGCAAUGGUGUGAUCAUAGCUCACUAUAGCCUAGAAGUCCUGGGCUUAAGCUAUCCUCCCACCUUUAGCCUCCUGAUAGCUGGGGCUACAGGUGUGUGCCAGCCAUCAUGCCUGGAUAAUUAAAAAAAAAAAAUUUUGUAGAUAUAGGAUCUCACUAUAUUGCCAAGGCUGGUCUCAAAUUCCUGGGCUCAAGUGAUUUUCCCACUUCAGCCUCCCAACAGUGUUUUUCAUUCAUUUCACUUGUAUAUGCUCUUCCAUCAGUGAUAAUGUUUCUUCUGCCUCAAGAACAAAUGCCUUUAGACUUUUUAAAAGCACAAGUCUGCUGACAACAAAUUCCAUCACCUUUUGUUUGUCUGAAAAUAUUUUUACUUUGCCUUAAUUUUUGAAAUAUAUUUUUGUUUGGCAGUUAUUUUCUUUCAUCACUUUAAAGAUGACAUCACAAUGCCUUCUGGCUUCCAUUGUUUCUGUUAAGAAGUUAGCCAUCAGUCUUACUGUUGCUUCUUUGAGUUGGGCUUAUCUUGCCCAUGAAGUUGCCUCUGAAGAACCAAGUCCAACUGUGUAUGCUGAGAGAUGUCUGGCUACUUCCUGAUUGACAGUUCUGGCAAGGUGGCAUUGGGCCCUGGCUUUUCCUCUGGAGGCAUCAUCACUUAUAGGAAAAUGUCCCCUGAAGUCCAAGGAUCAAAGCUGCUGGAACACUGAGAAGCUGAACAAAGGAGAACUGUUUCUCAUCAAACCCAGACUUCCAGACUUCCAAUAGGGUAGAAUGAGCAAGUCAGCAAAUCAUCUUCCUUGGAAACAGUGAUAAAACUAGAUGACAUUGUCAACAACAGCCAUUUCAGAAAUCUAGAAAAUGACCAAAGGCAAACAACAAACUGAGAAGCAUUUUUUUUUCCAUGAAAAAUCGCUCUAUUUCUGCAAAAAUAGUGGGAGUCUAUGGCUUCUCAUCCAGGGCUGUUUCUCUCCCCACCCCAGCUCAGUCAGUACAAAGGUUCUGGCAGCAUGAGGCAGACUGAACAGACCUGAAGUUUGAUUGCUGGAAGAAACUGACUCCAGGUUUGGCAGAGGGUGAGAAACCUACUCCCAGCCAUGUUGUCUGGUGACACAGUGACCUUAGGGACAAGUGAAUAGGGAAGGCCAGUGAUUCAUUAACCUGAGGUUGCAGUCCUGGUUGGGGAAAGCAUCAGAAUGGCAGAUAAGCUAGAAAUUUAGUAGGGAUAUGCUGGAAAUGAGACAACCCCAAAGGGGCUUGACCCCAAAGUUGUCCACACACCCCAGCUGCCUUCUGAGCAGAUGUAGGGAGAGACCAGAGAAGGCCUAGGCUAUCCACACAUCUCUGGCUAACCCAGGCUGUAAACCUGUGGAGGAGACACAAGAGGUGGAUUGAUUGCUAAUGGGCAUAUGGGGGAUCUUACUGGUUGAUAGGAACAUUCUCAAAUUGGAUUGUGGUGAUGCUUGCACAACUCUAAGUUUAUCCCAAAUUGCUAAAUUUUACACUAAAAAGGGGUGAACUUUAGGGUAUAUAAAUUAUACAUCAAUAAAGUUGUCAUAAAGCAUUCACAUUCUAAUAAAUGGC